GGAAAAAGCAAUUCAUGAAUUGGGGUAUGCCAGACCAAAAAAAUGUUCAAUGUUCUAAUGACAUAGCGUCAGAGGCAAAUAUUUUUAGGUUGAAUACGGAAAAAAGAUAAAGAAAUUAUUUGAUUGGUGACAGUUGCAAAAUUAUCUUAUUUGAUUCAUCCCAUUCGAAAGUCCCUAGUUAUAUAAUUAGAAACUUUUUGUCUGCCAAUAAUUGGCUGAGGUUUUCUUUCUAACAUAAGCAUUUACCAGAAAUGGCUAAAGUUAAGUUUUGCUAAAGUUUGCAAAUUAAGCAAAGUUAAGAUGACUUAUGAGGCCUGACUGCUUUUGUCUAGUCAGAGAUUCUUCAGGCUGGUCUCUCGUCAUUUUAAUUUACUUUAACAACAGUGAACUCAUAGGAAUUAGAAUAAAGACUGAAACUGCAAGACUGAAAGCACAUACCACUUAUUAGGAAAAAUCUCUAACAGUAAACCUUCAGACACAUUCUGGUUAAACCAUUAAACUAAAAUUUUUUUUUCACAUUCAGGACAAAAAUAAUUCACUUACAAGGAGAAAAAUCAGGUGGGUUUCAGAUGUCUUUCCAGCAGCAAUCAGUGCCAGAGCAAAGGAGAAAUGUCCAGAAGAAAAACAGAAUAUGACCCAAGUGGAUUCUACCCAGCCAAGCUGGAGCUUAGGUAUAAAGGCAAGAGCUCACAUUUUCAGACAUGAAGGGACUCAGAAAAUACAACAUCUGUUAGCCCUUGUGAAAAAUCUACUUGAUGGUGAGAUCUUGUUAACUAAAGGUUGCAUCAAAAGAGAGUCCUGCCAUUCUGAAGCUGUAGAAGUGGGAUUGGUAGGGAGCAUGGAAUCCAGGUGGAUGCAGGAAUGCUAUUAACACCCAGGAGAGAGAUGGUUUCAGAUGCAGAAUGAAAUGUUGCAAACUCUGAAAAGUUGAAAUAAUUUAAGCAUCGAAACCAGAAAGAAGAAGAGGGCAGGAUAGACGUGUAUCUAAAUGUUAAUCUCUUAUCUUUCCCAGCGUGUAUCAAUCUCAUCUCUACGGAAACUCACUUUUUUUUUUUUUUUUUUUUAGACAUAGCACUCUGUCGCCCAGGCUGGAGUGCAGUGGUGUGAUCUCAGCUCACCGCAACCUCCGCUUCCUGGGUUCAAGUGAUUCUCCUGCCUCAGCCUCCCUAGUAGCUGGGAUUACAGGCAUGUGCCACGACACCCAGCUAAUUCUUUUUGUGUUUUUAGUAGAGAUGGGGUUUUGCCAUGUCGGCCAGGCUGAUCUCGAACUCCUGACCUCAGGUGAUCUGCCCACCUUGGCCUCCCAAAGUGCUGGGAUUACAGGCGUAAGCCAUUGUGCCUGGCCGAAAACUCACAUUUUAAAAAACCCACAAUGCAAAAAAAUAACAGAUGCUGGUGAAGUUGUGGAGAAAAGGGAACGCUUAUACACUCCUAGUGGGAAUGUAAAUUAGUUCAGCCAUUGUGGAAAGUAGUGUGGCAAUAUUUAUUUCCUUUAUAGGAAAGAACAAUGAUCUGAAUUACAGUUUGACCGAAGCUUUUGUUCCUGUUAAAUUCUUUUAAAAUUAAGUGUGGUACUUAUUUUCAAAAAUACAUCACAUAUAGUUAAUACCAUCAUGAUACAAUUGUUUUCAUCUGUUUCAGCGUCUACUCUGUCUCUCUCUCUCUCUGCCUCCAUCUCUGUCUUUCUCUAGAUCCUUCUUUCUUUCUAUGCAUAGAGAGACGUCUGGAAAGAUGUCAGUCAAAUGUUAUAACCAAUUAUUUUUAGGUUGUAUAAUUUUUGGUAAUUCGUUGCUUUCUUCUUCACACUUUUCUGUAUUUCUUAAUUUCUUUAUAAUUAGUAUGUGUAUUAUAUUAAAUUAUAUUACACAUACGUAAAUAUAUAAAUAUUUUAUAUAUGUAUUAUAUAAAUAUAAUAUAUAAAAUAUAAUAUAUUUUACACAUAAAAUAUAUCAUAUUAGUUAUAUUAAAAUAAUCACACACUUAAAGAAAAUAAAGCGAUGGACAAAGAGAUACCAAACAGAUAUGCUUAGAAGGAAAGCAGGAAUAGACAGAUCUACUAACAUCAGGCGAAGUAGAAUUUAAAGUCAGAAGCAUUCAUUGGAGUUAUGAGAGACAUUAUGGUAUGGUAAAAUGUACAUAUUGGAAAAAAUAUAACAGCUAUAAAUUUUGAUAUUCCAAAUAGCAUAGUUAUACAUAAAACAAAAACUACUGCAAUAUAAGAAGAACUUAAAGUAUACGCACGCACACACAUACCCCCACACAUAUACUGUAGUAAAAUACUUUAGAUAUGCCUACUUUUGAAUUUUAUUUAUUUAUUUAUUUUCUGAGACAGGGUCUUGCUCUGUCACCCAGGCUGGAGUGCAGCGGCUCAAUCACAGCUCACUGCAGUCUCGCCCUCCUGGGCUUAAUUACUUCUGAAUUUCGGAGAUCUAGUAAAACAAAAAUAAACGACAUAGAGAAUCUCAAUAUUACAAUUAACGAGCUUGAUUUCGUACAUACGUAGAAUUCAGUGUCUUACCAAUGAAAAAUAAACAUCAUUUUAUUUUGUCCUCAGAAUCUUUGUAAAAAUUGAUCUCAUAUUUGGCUCUAAAGAAAAUCUAUAAAAUAUAAAAGUGGAGAUACACAAGCUAAAUGUCCUGAGCCUCAGCCUAUACAAUUAAAAUUUAUCACAAAAGCAUACUUAAAAAGUCUUCACUACUUAGAAUUAAGAAACAAUCUCCUAAGUAACUUCUACAUGAGAGGAAUUCAAAAUUAAAAUUGUCUAGAAAAGAAUAAAAAAGAGAUAUACUUGAAUGCAUAAAUAAUUGAAAGAAAAGAGGGAAAGAGGGAGAGAGAGAGAGAACUAACCUAAAUAUUUUUUAGUUGUUUGAAAAAGCCAUCAGUUGAUGCCAAUUAAUAGAACCCCACCAUGAGUCAGCAGGUGUAGGCUCUGGUCUCACUUCUGGCAUCAUCUUGGCAAGUCGUUCUUCCUCUGGACCUCAGACUCCUAGCUCCAAAAUGACAGACUCAGCAAGAUGAUCUAGGGUUUCUCCUGGCUCCAGUUCAUUCGAACAGCAUCUUUUACAUAUUUCAAUUAGUCACCCAUGUUUACAUAUCAGAAGAUUUGACAUAAAAAAUUCCACCUCUAUUUUCUUUUAAAAACCAGAGUUUGAGGUGGCACUCCUGGGUCUGCCUGGAUCAAGGUCGCUCCUUCAGGUCACCGGAGUUCCUACCACCAACUUCACUCUGGUCUGCCUGGACUGUGGGGUUUUCAGCCCCUAAGCAGAAGAAAGGAACUUAGAGUAUCAGUUGUCACCCUCUCCAGAGAAAACUCAAGGCUUUUUUUUCUUUUUGGGUUUCCCCUUAUAGUGAAUAUGGAGUCCAAGAGAACAAAACCUCAAACUGAUUCUCUAAAUUCUCAUUUUUGUUCUUCAUAAAAAUUUCCAUCCAGGCAGUUUAAAUAAGCCCAGUUGUUUCCAAGAAAACAGAAGGGAAAGCUGAGGAAACCCCACCCCCCACCCCCAGUUCCCAGGGCUCCAGUGCUUGCUCUGUGCCCCAGACCACUGCCCAUCUGGAUCCUGGUUGUGUUAGGGGGGCGGGCGCGGGAGGGCACCAUCUGGUAGAGAACUUACUGCGGUUUGGCUGAGUUGUAUAGGUGAAGCUUUCAUUCUCAAAUAAAUUUUAAAAGAUUCUUGCUCAAUAUAAGGAUAUGGGAUAUAGAGACAAAUGUUCCAGAAAAAAAAAAAAAAAAGAUUAAAAAUCCACAUAGGCAACAAUCCUUCAUCUUCUUAGGGCAGUCUAGUCCAGGAAGCUUCUCCUGCUUUUGAAGGUUUUUCUUUGAUCUUAAAAUAAAUGAGGCCAGGUGCAGUGGCUCAUGCCUGUAAUCUCAGCAUUUUGGGAAGUCAAGGUGGGAGGAUCACUUGAGGCCAGGAGCUUGAGACCAGCCUGGGCAAUAUAGAGAGAUGCCAUCUCUACAAAAAAAUAAAAAAACAAAAUUAGCGGCCAGGCACAGUGGCUCACUCCUGUAAUCCCAGCACUUUGGGAGACCAAGGUGGGUGGAUCACUUGAGGUCAGGAGUUCAAGACCAGCCUGGCCAACAUGGUGAAACCCCCUCUUCACCAAAAAUACAAAAAUUAGCCAGGUGUGGUGGUGCAUGCCUGUAGUCCCAGCUACUUGGGAGGCUGAGGCAGGAGAGUCACUUGAACCCAGGAGACAGAGGCUGCAAUGAGCCAAAAUUGCACCACAGCACUCCAGCCUGGGCAACAGCCUAGAUGUUAUUUUUUAAGAUGUCUUUAAAAUAUAUACAAAUUUUAAAAUAAAAUGAAUGUUUUUUUCUCUUCUCUCAAUAGACCCAAGUUUUCUUUGCUUCUUGUGAAUGGCCUCACUACCCAAUCUUUUUUUCCCAUAGUGAACGUGCCCAGAGAAUGCAGGUCAGCUGGACACCAGAAGUGGAAGUGGAAAGGCUGUGGGCUAUUGUCACUGAACUAGAGAUGGAUGGGAACAGGCCGGUCUCUCAAACUUGGGAGGUGAGAACCAGACACCCCCAAAUCCCACGAGCCAGAAAGAGCUACUGAGACCAUCCUCAUGAACACUUCUCUUUGUAUGUUUUAGAGAUUUAACCAUACAUAGUAUGCAACUUUAUAUGCAUAUGGUGUGAGUUUUAGAUAACUAGAAUCUUGUUGUUUAGGAUGUUUUCUGUUCAGCAAUAUGUGGUGGAUACAUCUCAAUCUGAAGAAAUAAAAGAUCUGCAUCAGUGGGGCCGGUGGUGCUAACGCAUGUCUGUAAUCCCAGCACUUUGGGAUGCUGAGGUGGGAGGAUCACCUGAGGUCAGGAGUUCGAGACCAGCCUGGCCAACAUGGUGAAACCCCGUCUCUACUAAAAAUACAAAAAUUAGCCUGGUGCAGUGGUGCGCACCUAUAGUCCCAGGUACUCAUGAGGCUGAGGCAGGAGAAUUGCUUGAACCUGGGAAGCAGAGGUUGCAGUGAGCCAAGAUCGUGCCAUUGCACUCCAGCCUGGGCAACAGAGUGAGACUCUGUCUCAAAAAACAAAAAGCAAACAAACAAACAAAAAACACCAAGAUCUGCAUCAGCGGCGGUACUGAACACAGGUACAAUUUCACGGCUUCCUAAUGUGUUGUAUCCAUUUACAGUCCUAACAGCAGGAUGUGAAAUCGCUCAUAUUUUCUAAACCUUUCCUACACUUGGUUUUAUCACUCUGUUUAUUCUUUGCCAAUCUAAAACUGUUCCAAUACAAUGUAAAAUUUAAAUUUAAAUAAAAUGUGCAUUUCGCUGAUUAAUGUAAGUUGGAAUAUCAUUAUCUUUUCAUAGUUCUUGGGCAAUUAUAUUUCUUCUCUCAGAUUUACACAGUCAUGUCCUCCCCAUUUUUCAAUGUGACCAUUUAGUUCUUACUGAAAAGUAAGUGCACAUUUUAUAACAGGAAUAUUAACCCUUUGUCUUUUUUUUUUCUUUUUGUAGAAUUUUGCAAAAUCUUUGUGGCUGGUCUCUCCACUCUGAUUUUAAUGAUAGUCUUGUUUUGUUUGUUUUUAAAAAAAACACUAUGCUGCAGUUUUAAAUUUCUUUGUAGACAAAUCUUCCGUCUGUGACUUGAUAGAAAAGAAGACAGAUGAGUGUGAACAGAUGGAGGGGAUCCGGGGUGGAUUGGGCAGGAGGGUCUCAUGGCCCUGUGCAGAGUGGAGCUCACCUGUGAAUUCUGACAGGUAAUCCCAGCCACAGUCCAAUAACUGCUGGCAACGGUGAACAAAGGAAAGCUUCUGUGCCUCAGGUGAAACGGGAGUCUAGAAAAAGUUAAUGAAAG
rnacentral:lncRNA from 10 species